AGAGUUUGAUCCUGGCUCAGAUUGAACGCUGGCGGCAUGCUUUACACAUGCAAGUCGAACGGCAGCGGGGGUGCUUGCACCUGCCGGCGAGUGGCGAACGGGUGAGUAAUACAUCGGAACGUAUCCUUAAGUGGGGAAUAACGCAUCGAAAGAUGUGCUAAUACCGCAUAGUCUUUUACAAGUAAAGCAGGGGAUCGAAAGACCUUGCGCUUGAGGAGCGGCCGAUGUCUGAUUAGCUAGUUGGUGGGGUAAAGGCCUACCAAGGCGACGAUCAGUAGUUGGUCUGAGAGGACGACCAACCACUCUGGGACUGAGACACGGCCCAGACUCCUACGGGAGGCAGCAGUGGGGAAUUUUGGACAAUGGGCGCAAGCCUGAUCCAGCAAUGCCGCGUGCAGGAAGAAGGCCUUCGGGUUGUAAACUGCUUUUGUACGGAACGAAGAGACUCUGGUUAAUACCUGGAGUCCAUGACGGUACCGUAAGAAUAAGCACCGGCUAACUACGUGCCAGCAGCCGCGGUAAUA
rnacentral:rRNA from 1 species